rnacentral:tRNA from 1 species
GGGACAGUAGCUCCGUGGCAGAGCUCCCGCCUCGUAGGGGGGAAGACCUGGGUUCGAUUCCCGGCUGCCUUC